AAAGGGUCCGUAGGCGGACCGAUAAGUCAGUGGUGAAAUCUCAUAGCUUAACUAUGAAACUGCCAUUGAUACUGUCGGUCUUGAGUAAAUUAGAGGUAGCUGGAAUAAGUAGUGUAGCGGUGAAAUGCAUAGAUAUUACUUAGAACACCAAUUGCGAAGGCAGGUUACCAUGAUUUAACUGACGCUGAGGGACGAAAGCGUGGGUAGCGAACAGGAUUAGAUACCCUGGUAGUCCACGCCGUAAACGAUGCUAACUCGUUUUUGGGGCGCAAGCCUCAGAGACCAAGCGAAAGUGAUAAGUUAGCCACCUGGGGAGUACGUUCGCAAGAAUGAAACUCAAAGGAAUUGACGGGGGCCCGCACAAGCGGUGGAUUAUGUGGUUUAAUUCGAUGAUACGCGAGGAACCUUACCAAGGCUUAAAUGGGAAAUGACAGGCUUAGAAAUAGGCUCUUCUUCGGACAUUUUUCAAGGUGCUGCAUGGUUGUCGUCAGCUCGUGCCGUGAGGUGUUAGGUUAAGUCCUGCAACGAGCGCAACCCCUGUCACUAGUUGCUAACAUUCAGUUGAGGACUCUAGUGAGACUGCCUACGCAAGUAGAGAGGAAGGUGGGGAUGACGUCAAAUCAUCACGGCCCUUACGCCUUGGGCCACACACGUAAUACAAUGGCCGGUACAGAGGGCAGCUACACAGCGAUGUGAUGCGAAUCUCGAAAGCCGGUCUCAGUUCGGAUUGGAGUCUGCAACUCGACUCUAGAAG
rnacentral:rRNA from 1 species